UGGCUCAGAACGAGCGCUGGCGGCGUGCUUAACACAUGCAAGUCGAACGCGAAAGGGACUUCGGUCCUGAGUAAAGUGGCGCACGGGUGAGUAACGCGUAGAUAACCUGUCUUCAUGUCUGGAAUAAUACGCCGAAAGGGGUACUAAUACCGGAUAUUCUUGCUUUUCAUAAGUUAUGCAAGCAAAGGUGGCCUCUGCAUAUGCUACUGCAUGAAGAGGGGUCUGCGUACCAUUAGCUAGUAGGUGGGGUAAUGGCCUACCUAGGCGACGAUGGUUAGCGGGUCUGAGAGGAUGAUCCGCCACACUGGCACUGGAACACGGGCCAGACUCCUACGGGAGGCAGCAGUGAGGAAUAUUGCGCAAUGGGGGAAACCCUGACGCAGCGACGCCGCGUGAAGUGAGGAAGGCCUUCGGGUCGUAAAGCUCUGUCAAGAGGAAAGAAGUGUACAAUGGCUAAUACCUGUUGUAUUUGACGGUACCUCUAAAGGAAGCACCGGCUAACUCCGUGCCAGCCGCAGC
rnacentral:rRNA from 1 species